rnacentral:tRNA from 1 species
GGGGGUAUAGCUCAGCGGCAGAGAGCGUGCUUAGCAUCCAUAAGGUCCUGGGUUCAAAUCCCAGUACCUCCA